UCAUAAAAAGGUCUCACUCAAUCUGCAGAUGCCGCCCAAGCGUGCCACCAGGACCUCCCCAAGUCAGGCUCAUGCCUCCCCCAGUGCAGAGAGGCAGCCUGAAAGGCAGGAGCCGCCCCCGGCGGUACUCCCUGAGGAGCAGGAAGUAAGCCAGCCAGAAGGAAGGGGAGAAAGCCAAGUGGGAACACAGCAGCCACCACCCCCACCGG
rnacentral:lncRNA from 1 species